AGAUGAUUGACCUCUCUAGCUCAGGGCUGGCAAUGGGGAGCCUGUGACUGGCCAAGUGUUGUUGGACUCCAUUUCCCAUCUUCUCUGAACAUUGGCCAUGCUGGCUGAGGCUGAUGGGAGUCAGAAUCUAGAGAGCCAUAGGCGAUGCCCUGAGUCCCUUCCGGUUCUUCGAAUUCUGUAUCUGUGGGGUUGAAUUCGUGAGAGCAAGCUUGCCCAAUCGCUUCCUGUGUCUAGGUAAUGGUUUUGGCUGACCACUGCACUUGGCACUGCACUUAGCAACGCCAAAUAACUUGCCCUGUGCCAUAGAGCAAAUGGGCAGACCUUUUCCUCACCCCUCACCUAACCACUAGGUAGGAGAACAAAUGCCAGUGUUGUGUCUGAGCUGAGUUGGAAGCAGACUGGAAGCUGGAGACACAGAGACAUGCUUGCUCUGUGCUGGAUCCAAAGUUGUGACCAAUGGAGAAGCAAGAUAUUUUGGGGUGUCAAUGCUGUGAGUCCCUCCAUCCUAUGCUCAGGUUGUGUAUACAUGUAAAUAAAAGCAUAUAUCUUAAAGACUCCAUAGUCUCUUCUGGCCUUCAUCCCAAGGAAAUGCCUGGAACCCCUGGAAUCUCUCAGAGAUUGGGGGUGGCAUGCAACAAGAUAUUAGAUGUCCUUUCUGGCCCAGAAAUAUCUGAAAGAGAUUUAGUGCUACAUUGAAGACAUUCCCAAGCAGGCAAGUCGAGUAAGACAUCAGAGUGCAAAAGGAAAUCUUCCUUACAAUCCCUCUGUAAAUGAAAGCUGUGUGCCCUUCCCAUGUAUAAUUGGCUGCUAGCGAAAGCUCUUGUAAUCUCAGAAAAUGCAGCUGGAAAAUAUGUUGCUUAGCUUUCAGGGCACUUUACAAAGGGGAUUCAGCCUCCAAUGUUGUUAGGGGCUGCAUAAAGACCUUCCCACAAAGUCCUGGAUUUGCUCGUCUGCUUGCUUAGGAAGGUAUGUGAGAUGAUGAUGAUUCUCCUUGCUCUCAGAAGGUGUUCUGCAAAACUAGAGCAUCACUGGGCUUUAGAUAAUUGAGGCUUUACAUUUCAAACACACCAAAACACCAGCCACUGCAGAUCCUUGGCAGCUCUGAGGAAAUCCUUGAUCGCUCUGAGGAAAGAGCCAACGAUAGUGAACAAAAAUCUGGAGCAUGCUAUGUCUUAAACUGAUUUGAGUGUCUGGAGUUUGUCUCACAUGUGAGUGACCUCCAAGCCCUCCCUGAAUGCCUGAGUAGGGCAGGGAGGAACAGGGCACUCUAGACCAGUGUGUUCCCAAACUUUGAUCUCCAGAUGUUUCUGGACUACAACUCCCAUCAUCCCGAGCUAGCAGAACCAGUGGUCAGGGGUGAUGGGACUGUAGUCCAAAAGCAGCUGGUGACCUAAGUGUGAGAAACUCUGCUCUAGACCCUUGGAAAUGCAGCUAGUGUCUGAGUUGAAUAUUUCUGCUUGGGAAAGCAAGCACAAGUACAAAGGGCAAGUGUAAUGUCUCAGAUGUGAAGGGCAGAGAAGUGUCGUUUUUAUGUGCUCGUCCCUUUAAAGCAAGUGAAAGUGGGAAAUGAUUGGGCACCUGUUUCUGUAUGAUUGAAAGUUUUUCCCAACCUGGUGCCUCUCCAGAUGUUGUUGGACUGAAGGGUCCCAUCAUGCCUGAGCACUGAGCAUACCAGCUAGAGCUGGUGCAAGGCCUGGGAGGCUGGGAUAAGCAGUUUUAACAAUAGAUAUGUGCACAUUUCACAUGCUGUAAAAGUGAGUGUACAUGGAGGGCCAGUUUCUACAGUGGAAUGCAGUGGUGACACUUUUCAGCAGGAGCUGAUGGUGUGGUCAGGCUGCAAUGCCCACCUGAUCUCCCUCCUGAUGUCCCAAAGUGGAACAGAGAGGGGGGGUCAGCACGAUGCAAACAUACCUGCAGGAAGAAGCUUGCGCUGAUGUAGCAAUCUCCUUAGCACUGCACUGAAUUCCCCCCUGCCGUUUAAAUAGAAAUACAAUGCAUCUCACUACAGAGGGGAAGACAGCAACAGGGUGAUCUGUGUACCUGCUCAGCCUGCUCUGUUGAUGGGGAAUUGCAAGACCUCUACUCUCUCUCCUUCUCUACUCUCUCUCCUUAUGGUUCUUUAUCUUUAACCAAACCUGGACCGGGCAGCCCCGCAAAUAGAAAACUCCUUCAAAUUGAGGUCGGUCCCUUAUAAAGUAGGGCACAUGGCCACCCUAUGCUGCCAGACAUUGUGAGCCAUCUUGAGUUAUAUCACCUGUAAUCAUCCAGUUGUUCCUGGACUACAACUCCCAUCAUCCCUGAGCACUGGCCAGGUUGUUGACUUGGGAUGAUGGGAGCUGUAGUCCAGCAACAUCUGGAGAUCCUCAUACAUUUUAAAUUGCAGUUAAAGACAUAGAAUCAUGACCUAGUUGAGAAGUAACAAUCCCAUGGAUUGGUUGGCAAGAGUUAAUGGAUCCAGCUCCUGAGAAGGCUUCUGUAACUAGGCAUGGCUUCUUUCUCACACACGCAUACCCUGCCCCUACAAUGCUUCAGAGACCAAAAUUACACUUGGUGAGGGUUCUCUUUGUCCUACAAAUCCUAACAGUACACUAGUCCAUUGUCUUGGACACCAUAGGUCAGCCUUCGUCAAGCUGGUGCUCUUCAGAUGUUGUUGGAGUCCAUCUCCCAUCGGCCCCAGCCAGCAUGGCCAAUGAUCAGGGACUUUCAUUUUCAUUUGUUUUGACAAUUUGUAUCCUGCUUAAUUACAGUCUUCUCUAAGUGGGGUACAGCAGACUCAGUACAAUAAAAGAUGCCCCUGACAUUUUCAGGUUGGGCUGGGAAUGUUCCCUGCCUGAAAGCCUGGCGAGAUCCUGCCAGCCAGUGUAGACAACACUGUGGUAGAUGGACCAGUGAUCUUACAAGGUAUAAUUCACCUUUUUUUAUGUUCCUAUGAAGGGCCAUAGGUUUCUGAACCCUGUGCUAACUCCGGCAUUCGUUGAAUGAAAGCUCAUGGCUAAUGCAAAAGAGCUACUCCUCAGUCCCUUCCACAUACAAAGUGCAUCUAGGGCUAGGCUGACUAUACCCUUCCAGCCAUUCAUUCAUUCAUUCAUUCAUUCUUGUUUAUUUGCUGAAUCCAAGGAGUUCAACAUGGCAUACAAGUGUGGUGAUCGCACAGGGUCCCUGGAUGUUUCACCAUCUAUUGAUCCCUGUGCCACCACUUUAUUUCUCGCUGCCACCACCCAGGCCCUACCUGGGACAAUACUGAGUCCAGUCAGGGUUAAAUUGAAACAUAAACUUCUGUUUAUUUCUUGCAGUUUAACAAGCAUAUAGUUUCAUAAACAGUAUCAGUCAAUUACAUUCAUCGGGUGCCUAUCCAGACCUCUAACUUCCACUACCUGCUCUCACUCACUAAACCACCUCUCAGAUAUUUACUUGUCUGCCUAGCCCCUAACUGUUCCUGACUCAGCCUAUUUCGCUACACUAACUCAACCUACCCACAAACUCUAUCCCAAUUAACUCCCACUCCAACCAACCACCCAAAUGCCAACGAAUUCUCCCCUUCGCCCCUCCCAGAGCUGGUCUUAUAGUCCCUCUGACUCCACCCCCCUGGGUCCUGACUGGGCAACCUGUUUAACUAUUUCACCUCCAGCACUCUCUCAUAUGUUAACAUCACAACUAGGUCCUCUCUCUCUCCUGGAAGGUAGGUUGAACUGAGAGUUUGUGACUGGGGCCAAGGUAGCCCAAGGAGCUUCAUGGCUGAGUGGGGAUUUGAACCCUGGUCUGCCAUGUCCAAUGCUCUAACCACUACAUAGACAAGUUUCCUUUCUCUUGGAGAUUUCACCCAAUACAGCUACCCGAUGGUUUGUUUUGAGAGCUCCUUUGGCUCUAGCAAGGCAGUGACCUUCAGAGCAUCUUGAAAUGGCCCAUUAGUUUCUGUAGGCACUUGAGGGGAGAGAAGGAUGAUGACUGGGUGCUUACGACUGAAAGCUUACUUGGCACGCAGCCCAUCUGUGGCUGCCUUGAUUUAAUUAAUGAUUUACAUUUUAUUCAUGUGUGAUGGCUGCCAGCAGGGAAUCAUACCAGAAGUUAAACAGAGGGGCCUCUCCUUCGAGGCUGGAUGUAUAAAAUCCAAGAUCCGUCCUAAUUCCCAAUAAUGGAAAGUUUAAAAAAUCUUAAAGCUUCUGCGUGCUCCCCUGAAUAUCUACCAAUAUGUUUAUUUAUUUUUAUUGGAUUUAUAUAUCACCCUUCAUCAAAAGAUCCCUGAAGGGGAUAAAAUACAAGAUGAAAGCACAAAUAAAUAGUUUAGCACAAACAAAUACAGUGGUACCUCGGGUUAAGAACUUAAUUCGUUCCAGAGGUCCGUUCUUAACCUGAAACUGUUCUUAACCUGAGGUACCACUUUAGCUAACGGGGCCUCCCGCUGCUGCCGCGCCGCUGAAGCACGAUUUCUGUUCUCAUCCUGAAGCAAAGUUCUUAACCUGAGGUACUAUUUCUGGGAUAGCAGAGUCUGUAACCUGAAGCGUCUGUAACCUGAAGCGUCUGUAACCCGAGGUACCACUGUAGUCAACAGUGCCUCUUUAAUAAUAAUAAUAACAAUAAUUUUUAUUUAUACCCCGCCCUCCCCAGCCAAGGCCGGGCUCAGGGAGGCUAACAAGCAAUAAUAAAAACAAGUUGAAUGAAUACAACUUAAAAACAAGAUUAAAAUACAACAUUAAAAUAUUGAAACAUUAAAAUGCAGCCUCAUCACAGGAGGAGAAAGGAAAAAGAAAGAAAGUUUCAUAAGAGGCAGAAACUCAGCUGGUGCAGUGAUGGAUUAGGAAGACAGCAAGCUGCCUUAUACUGAAUCAGACCGUCAAGACCAUGGUAAGAAACCUGCUGGCUCAGGCCAGUGACCCACCUUGCCUAGCAUCCAGGUCUCACAGUAGCACAACAGCCAACCAGAUAACAGUGGAAUACCCAAAAAUAGGACCUGAGCAGAAGAGCACUCUCCCCUCAUUUGGCUUGCAGCAACUGGUGGUAUUCAGAGACUGCCCUCAAGAACAUUCAGAGACUGCCCACAGAACAUAGCCAAGGCACAGUCUGACC